UGGGGAAUAUUGCACAAUGGGCGCAAGCCUGAUGCAGCCAUGCCGCGUGUAUGAAGAAGGCCUUCGGGUUGUAAAGUACUUUCAGCGGGGAGGAAGGGAGUAAAGUUAAUACCUUUGCUCAUUGACGUUACCCGCAGAAGAAGCACCGGCUAACUCCGUGCCAGCAGCCGCGGUAAUACGGAGGGUGCAAUCGUUAAUCGGAAUUACUGGGCGUAAAGCGCACGCAGGCGGUUUGUUAAGUCAGAUGUGAAAUCCCCGGGCUCAACCUGGGAACUGCAUCUGAUACUGGCAAGCUUGAGUCUCGUAGAGGGGGGUAGAAUUCCAGGUGUAGCGGUGAAAUGCGUAGAGAUCUGGAGGAAUACCGGUGGCGAAGGCGGCCCCCUGGACGAAGACUGACGCUCAGGUGCGAAAGCGUGGGGAGCAAACAGG
rnacentral:rRNA from 1 species